rnacentral:rRNA from 1 species
GAACUUAAGCAUAUCAAUAAGCGGAGGAAAAGAAACCAACAGGGAUUGCCCUAGUAACGGCGAGUGAAGCGGCAACAGCUCAAAUUUGAAAUCUGGCCCCUUCGGGGCCCGAGUUGUAAUUUGCAGAGGGUGCUUUGGCGUUGGCGGCGGUCUAAGUUCCUUGGAACAGGACAUCGCAGAGGGUGAGAAUCCCGUAUGUGGUCGCCUGCCUUCGCCGUGUAAAGCCCCUUCGACGAGUCGAGUUGUUUGGGAAUGCAGCUCUAAAUGGGAGGUAAAUUUCUUCUAAAGCUAAAUACCGGCCAGAGACCGAUAGCGCACAAGUAGAGUGAUCGAAAGAUGAAAAGCACUUUGGAAAGAGAGUCAAACAGCACGUGAAAUUGUUGAAAGGGAAGCGCUUGCAGCCAGACUUGCCUGUAGUUGCUCACCCGGGCUCCUGCCCGGGGCACUCUUCUGCAGGCAGGCCAGCAUCAGUUUGGGCGGUUGGAUAAAGGGCUCUGACACGUACUUCCCCUCGGGGUUGACAUACAGGGGAGCCGCAAUGCGGACCAGCCCGGACUGAGGUCCSCGCAUCUGCUAGGAUGCUG